UACGUAGGGGGCAAGCGUUGUCCGGAAUCAUUGGGCGUAAAGAGCGUGUAGGCGGCUUGGUAAGUCCGCUGUGAAAGUCCAGGGCUCAACCCUGGAAUGCCGGUGGAAACUGUCAAGCUUGAGUCCGGAAGAGGCGAGUGGAAUUCCUGGUGUAGCGGUGAAAUGCGUAGAGAUCCGGAGGAACACCGACGGCGUAGGCAGCGCCCUAGACGAGACCUGACGCUCGGGCACGAAAGCGCGGGGAGCGAACAGG
rnacentral:rRNA from 1 species